UGCAAUAUAUUCUAAAUUUUACACAUGCUCUUGAAAAAAAAAAAACUGGAGUUUCCCCGUAUUUCCUCUCCACUAGUAACACAUUCUUUGCCACAGUUGCCUUCACUUGAAAUUCCAAGCGAGGACCUUAUAGAACCUUAUUGAGACAUUAUAAUUUCAGUAUUUUUGUUGUAUAGACUCUUUAUUAGAGCAUUGAUUAAUGUUGGUAACGUUUUUUUUUUUUUAUAUAUAUAUAUAUAUAUACAGGGAAAUAUUGGAUUUCCAGGCAUGCCUGGACCUAAAGGUUCUAGGGGAGUUUCAGGGACACCAGGAUACUCUGGCCCACCAGGACUACCGGGGUUCCCUGGAAAAGAGGGGCCGAGAGGGCCUCAUGGUCUCCCAGGAUGCAAUGGAACAAAGGUAA
ensembl:lncRNA